UGGGAUGGGAAUCGAACCCACGACCUUCCGCUUACCGGGCAGAUGCCAUGACCACUAGGCCAC
rnacentral:tRNA from 1 species